ensembl:lncRNA
CGUUGCUAAGUAACGAUAAACAGCUCAGUAGAAGAGCCGCAACUCUUCUGUACAGAUUAGAAGACAUAAAAAUAUUAAAAAUGCCGUCGCUUCUCAUGAAUGCUUGGCAGCAAUUCAUUUAGUUUGCACCUGACUAGCAUGUGAUACCCUGGGACUUGUAAACACAUGUGAGUUUACCGUCCAGACAUAACUCAGAGGAGAAGGAAUUUAAACUUUUUUUUUUGGGGAAGAACACAAAUAGGAGGACAGUUUGGUCAUGUACUCUUUUCAGAAAGAGUCAUCCAGGAGCCAGGCAGGGCCAGAUCAAGGUCCUGGCAAACAGAAGUUAUUUGGGACAGCAAUGUCUUCACCUGUGUCCACCAAUGUACCUGGUUCUCUGGCACCUGUUGAUGUGGAGCAGCUGAGGGCUAGACUUGUCUCAGCGGUGCCCAGACGUCCGCAGCUGAACGCUGAUGCUCUGGUGUUUCCUCACAGAACCAAAGCUCAGGAAAGACAAUGGGCCGCACAGAGACCAGCACAAUUUGAGAUGUUGCCAGCUCUGAAGAGACGCAGUGAACACAUGAAACCGGAGAACACACAGAGGGUCAAUUUGAGCCCUAAGAUGUCUUUUCCCUCUAAUGAGAUCCAGUCCCUUGACCCCUCCUUUUUUUUUUUUUUUAACAUUUUUAAUAAAAUUAAUUACUAUUUUAAUUUUAAAAAUAGAAAUACACUACUGUUCUAAAGUCUGAGUUUAAAAAAAAAAAAAAAAAAAAAAAAAAAUUAAUACUUUUAUUAAGCAAGGAUGCAUUAAAUUGAUCAAACAUUUUUAUAAUGUUACCAAAGAUUUCAAAUAAAUGUUGUCCUUCUGAACUUUCUAUUCA